AGAUUAAUACAAGAUGUUAUCAUGAGUAAGCAUUUUCGCAUGAUUAAAGGUUUACCGGUGUAAGAUGGGGAUGCGUUCCAUUAGAUAGUAGGCGGGGUAACGGCCCACCUAGUCUUCGAUGGAUAGGGGUUCUGAGAGGAAGGUCCCCCACAUUGGAACUGAGACACGGUCCAAACUCCUACGGGAGGCAGCAGUGAGGAAUAUUGGUCAAUGGACGAGAGUCUGAACCAGCCAAGUAGCGUGAAGGAUGAAGGUUCUAUGGAUUGUAAACUUCUUUUAUACGGGAAUAAACGGAUCCACGUGUGGAUUUUUGCAUGUACCGUAUGAAUAAGGAUCGGCUAACUCCGUGCCAGCAGCCGCGGUAAUACGGAGGAUCCGAGCGUUAUCCGGAUUUAUUGGGUUUAAAGGGAGCGUAGAUGGGUUGUUAAGUCAGUUGUGAAAGUUUGCGGCUCAACCGUAAAAUUGCAAUUGAUACUGGCAGUCUUGAGUACAGUUGAGGUAGGCGGAAUUCGUGGUGUAGCGGUGAAAUGCUUAGAUAUCACGAAGAACUCCGAUUGCGAAGGCAGCUUACUAACCUGUAACUGACAUUGAUGCUCGAAGGUGUGGGUAUCAAACAGGAUUAGAUACCCUGGUAGUCCACACGGUAAACGAUGAAUACUCGCUGUAGGCGAUAUACGGUCUGCGGCCAAGCGAAAGCAUUAAGUAUUCCACCUGGGGAGUACGCCGGCAACGGUGAAACUCAAAGGAAUUGACGGGGGCCCGCACAAGCGGAGGAACAUGUGGUUUAAUUCGAUGAUACGCGAGGAACCUUACCCGGGCUUAAAUUGCAACCGAAUAUGGCGGAAACGCUAUAGCUAGCAAUAGCGGUUGUGAAGGUGCUGCAUGGUUGUCGUCAGCUCGUGCCGUGAGGUGUCGGCUUAAGUGCCAUAACGAGCGCAACCCUUGCCGAUAGUUACUAACAGGUUAUGCUGAGGACUCUGUCGGGACUGCCACCGUAAGAUGUGAGGAAGGUGGGGAUGACGUCAAAUCAGCACGGCCCUUACGUCCGGGGCUACACACGUGUUACAAUGGGGGGUACAGAGGGCUGCUACCACGCAAGUGGAUGCCAAUCCCAAAAACCUCUCUCAGUUCGGAUUGAAGUCUGCAACCCGACUUCAUGAAGCUGGAUUCGCUAGUAAUCGCGCAUCAGCCACGGCGCGGUGAAUACGUUCCCGGGCCUUGUACA
rnacentral:rRNA from 1 species